ACCCAUUUUUGCCUGCUAGCACAGAGGAGCAGCCAUUAGAAGGCGAUUCUUCAUCAAGCCACUUUGUCGAGACCCACAAAAAAAGGAUCUUCGACUACCGUCUCAGCAGAGCCUGUCGGGUCAUAGAGAAUGCCUUUGGCAUAAUGGCACAGAGGUGGCGCAUCCUGCGCCGCCCGUUCAAAGCUAAGGACGAGAAUGUGAGAAGGAUUAUCUCUGCUUGUGUAGUCCUGCACAACUUCCUGCUCAAGGAGUCCCCCACUUCCCGAUCUGCAUACUGCCCUCCUGGAACAGCUGACCAUGUAGACUGGCAGGGAAAAAUCAGUGAAGGGAGCUGGAGGGCCGAGGACAGCAGCAACAAUGCACUGCCACCUCUGCGUAGCACAGGCUGUCACUCAACCAGAGCUGCCUACAAAAUGCGGGACGACCUUGCCAAGUACUUCGUCACUGAUGGCCAGAUCCCUUGGCAAGAGUCCAUGAUCAUGGACAGAACACUGUAGAGUGGUGUCACACAACGUGGCGACGAUCCUGCUCCGGAAAGCUCGUCUACGGAGCUUGCAUCGUAAAUGGUAUCGUCCAGCUGGCUUUGCUCGACGACCUCCGUGCUGCCUUCCAUGCCUGUGCUUUGGCGAAGCACGACUGGUGUUCUGUGUUAUGUGUCAUUCACCAAAAAAAAAAGCACACGAAACACUUUUGAGCUUCAAAUAUUCCUCACAGCUUUGUAGAAUAUUGUUUGCAUGAAAUGAACAUGGACAGUUGCUUUAUUAAAGCAACGCAAAACUAUGUAGGGCAACUUGAGAAAUAAGAUCUUUCAGUGGAAUUUUCCAAAUGUGUGCCAUGCAGUGAUGAAAAUACCUACUGAAGCCACAAUACAUUGAACUCCGUGCAAUUUCAGUGCAGUUAUUUGGUUCUGUUGACAUACGAGUCCAUUUACCCUUUCAGGAGGGAAGAUGAGCUGAGCUCGUGGAGCGCAUAAUUGCAAAGGAAGAUAAAUCACGAGACUAGCUCGUUAAGUGCUUUUUUGUUAUCCGUGCAGAUUUGCAGACUAUUUGAGCUCCUGUAAUGGUCUGCGCUUCUUCCAGAAGGUAUGCAUGCGUUUUAUGCUUCUAUGUAACAGCACAUAUUGCGAGGACCUGCUGAAGAGUAAUGUUCACAGUGCAGACUCCAUUUUGUUGCUUUCCGUCUCCAUGAAAAUGGGAUCUUAUGUGGUACAAGUGCGCGCUUCACGUCGGGAUGAGAAGGAAAUAAAAUGUGUGGAAUGUUUGAGUUUAGCCCCUCCAGCAAGAGAGAUUGAAUUGGCCUUGGGCAACAAGGUUUGCCUUGUUAAACUUUAAAAAAUUAUCCUUUUAGAGUAGCCUACACCUUGCUAACAAACCUUUUGUGCAGAAAAGUAAAUGUGUUAUUGUUAGACAUUGUCCUCUUCAGCUGCAGGCGAUUUUGAACUGGCAUCAGACAACACGGGUGUGCAGUAAAAUCCCCUUUAAGUUGAGUGGAUAAUAUUUUAUGUUUAAGUAAGCUAAACUGUUCUGACGAAAAGUUCCUGCACAUCGUUGCUUUUUAUGACCACUAAAAUUGUUUGCCCGGAUAGAAAAAAUUCGGGCUUCAUUACCCUUCACGGCUCGGGAAAUCAAUGUUUGUGCAGAUACUGAAAAAAAAAAUGUGAUACUUAUGUUUACCACGCCAUAGGUUACGCAAGUCAUUUCAUAGCCAACUUCGAAAAUAUGCUACUGUUAUUAUUCAUCAUGCAAAAAACAUCUAGUAGUACUUCGCUAUUCAUUAGUGAUUGUUCCUGCACAUGUAGUUCAUCAGAGCAGUUACUCGUUAAGUGUUAUGUUUAUAUUAUGCAAAAGUGAGGAUGUGGCCAACAUAUCAAUACUUAUGAAAUAUUUAGCUUUGCCAUCGCAUCAUGUGUGCGUGUUGCUCUGAGUGUAACUGCAUGACUAUUGACACGUUCACAUCGCCACUUAUAUAAAGGUUAUUCAUCAAUGUUUGCACAGUUAUUUACAAUUCUUCCCUUUACAUGGUCACAGUGUUUAUUCUCUAUGCACACUGCGCCAUCACUUGUGUACUACUGUUGUACCUUGAUGCCAAGCCAUUCAUUUCCCUCCGUUGCAGUGCAUUCAAUGUACAUUUUACUUGCAAAUUAGUUGACCAACUGUGUGUAUGUAAAAUAAAGAGCAUUUUGUGUCUAUAGGAUGUAUGCAUGUGUUUUUUCCUUUGUAAUUAUUUUGUUCAUAUCCUGCUUGUAAAUGACUGAAAUUGAAGUAAUAAAAGUAGACCAAAACAGU